rnacentral:rRNA from 1 species
UACGUAGGGGGCAAGCGUUGUCCGGAUUUAUUGGGCGUAAAGAGCGUGUAGGCGGCCUGAAAGGUCAGCUGUGAAAACUCGAGGCUCAACCUCGAGACGUCGGUUGAAACCAUCUGGCUAGAGUCCGGAAGAGGAGUGUGGAAUUCCCGGUGUAGCGGUGAAAUGCGCAGAUAUCGGGAAGAACACCCGUGGCGAAGGCGGCACUCUGGGACGGUACUGACGCUGAGACGCGAAAGCGUGGAGAGCGAACAGG